GACGAACGCUGGCGGCGUGCUUAACACAUGCAAGUCGAACGGAAAGGCCCUGCUUUUGUGGGGUGCUCGAGUGGCGAACGGGUGAGUAACACGUGAGUAACCUGCCCUUGACUUUGGGAUAACUUCAGGAAACUGGGGCUAAUACCAGAUAGGAGCUCCUGCUGCAUGGUGGGGGUUGGAAAGUUUCGGCGGUUGGGGAUGGACUCGCGGCUUAUCAGCUUGUUGGUGGGGUAGUGGCUUACCAAGGCUUUGACGGGUAGCCGGCCUGAGAGGGUGACCGGCCACAAUGGGACUGAGAUACGGCCCAGACUCCUAUGGUAGGCAAGGGUGGGGAAUAUUGCACAAUGGGCUGAAGCCUGAUGCGGCAACGCCGCGUGCGGGAUGACGGCCUUCGGGUUGUAAACCGCUUUCGCCUGUGACGAAGCGUUAGUGACGGUAAUGGGUAAAGAAGCACCGGCUAACUACGUG
rnacentral:rRNA from 1 species